CAUGUACCUGUGGAUUUGCUAUGGUAUUCGUCUCUACCAGCUGUUGCUACACAGCCUGGUCACCAUGUACAACACUGCCAUCCCUGUAAACUCCCAAAUAUCCCAAACUGCUAAAGGUAACACGUCUGAGGACCUCAGCAUUCUCAUUUGGAAUUUAAUUACUGAUGCAGCAUCAGAGUUCAGAGGAGUUCUUUCCAGACCUCCAGACACAAAGAUUAGCCAGUUAAAGAAAGUAGAAGUGCACUGUGGGGACUAUAGGUUGCAGAGCUGUAGAGUUGCAUUCCAGCAUUCUCCUCUCCUCCCCUCUUCUUCCCCCUCCUCCACUGCCCCGUUGAACUAAUUUCUGUGCUUAGUGUGCUAAGGUAAGCUGCACUCAGGGUCAUGUGAGCUGUACAGCAAAUUCUUUGUGUACUGUAACAUGUGCCACAUGUAUACUCUACCCUGAACCAUGUCCAUAUAGUACUAAGAGUAAUGUGCACUGUACUGCAGGCUGUGUGUGUACUGUACGGUGGGUAACAUACACUGUACUGCAGGCAGCAUGUGCAAAUUACACAGCCAUGCUCACUGCACAGCAAGUGACCAUGCUGUAUCUUGGCCCCCAUUUCAAAAGCUGGCUAUCCACCAGGUGAAGGGCCAUGUGCCCUCCCUAGGUCUGUUGCAUUAUCACUGAAUCAAAGUGCUUUUUCUGGGCAGCGCUUUGCUCGAGCUGAUAAACGGGGGAAGCUGCCUCGCUGGAUUCAGGAACACAUCACAGACAGUAACCUCAAUCUCACUGUGGAUGAAGCAGCGCAAAUAGCCAAGUACUUCCUACGACAGAUGGCACAGCCUUUCCAACAGGAGGAUCAGUUGGGAUUGUCACUGCUCUCACUGGAUCAGCUCGAAUCUGAGGAGAUACUCAGCAGAAUCCAGCAGAUCUCUCACCAAGUGUGAAGGGAGGAUGGGCAGGACCUGUUUGAAUACCAACACAGAGCCUUCCACCUACAGUAUUUGCAUCAGUCUGAGCUGCUGCUUGUGAGUGGUGACUCCCUGCACUCUGCAAGAGACAGGAUUUGCACAGUGGCCUGAGGCCGUUAGUAGCGGGAGGGGAAAGGCAGGGUCAAUCUGUGUCCUCUGCAGGUACUGACUAACGAGAGUGUUUCCUGUGUCCAAGCAUUGAUUGUAAAAUAUUGGGAACUGACCUCACAGUUGAUAAACAAGAUUUUGUACUGAUCAUCAAA